rnacentral:rRNA from 1 species
UUGGAGGGCAAGUCUGGUGCCAGCAGCCGCGGUAAUUCCAGCUCCAAUAGCGUAUAUUAAAGUUGUUGCAGUUAAAAAGCUCGUAGUUGAAUUUCGGGAUCAAAUUGUCGGUCGUGCCUCGGUACGCACUGGUAUUAUUGGUUCCUACCUUCUGAAGAACCGCGAUGUCAUUAAUUUGGUGUCGUGGGGAAUCAGGACUGUUACUUUGAAAAAAUUAGAGUGUUUAAAGCAGGCUUACGCUUGAAUACAUUAGCAUGGAAUAAUGAAAUAGGACGUUUGAUUCUAUUUUGUUGGUUUCUAGGAUUGACGUAAUGAUUAAUAGGGAUAAUUGGGGGCAUUAGUAUUCGAUUGUCAGAGGUGAAAUUCUUGGAUUUAUUGAAGACUAACUACUGCGAAAGCAUUUGCCAAGGAUGUUUUCAUUAAUCAAGAACGAAAGUUAGGGGAUCGAAGACGAUCAGAUACCGUCGUAGUCUUAACCAUAAACUAUGCCGACUGGGGAUCGGAUGAUGUUAAUUUUUUAAUGACUCAUUCGGCGCCUUACGGGAAACCAAAGUGUUUGGGUUC